CAGACAGCAUUUUUCAUCGGACGCUGCCAUGAGCAACGGGCUCCUCUGCUGUGUCUUCAUCUGUCUCGUCAGAGUAGGCUUCCAGGAUGCUGGAGUCACACAGUUCCCAAGACACAGGGUGUCAGGGACAAGAAAGAAAUUAACUCUACAGUGUUCACAGGAUAUGGGUCACUUCACAAUGUACUGGUAUCGCCACGACCCAGGAUUCAGACUGCAAUUGAUCUACUACUCAACUGGUGUCAACGCCACUGAAAAAGGCGAUGUCCCUGCCGGGUAUCAUGUCUCUCGAAAGGAAUUGAAAGAUUUUCCCCUGACCCUGGAGUCAGCCAGCACCAACCAGACAUCUGUGUACUUCUGUGCCAGCAGUGACUGUGUGAACACUGAAAUUUACUUUGGAGAAGGCACCAGACUCACGGUUGUAGAGGACCUGAGUGAGGUGAAACUACCCAAGGUCACUGUGUUUGAACCAUCCGAAGCAGAGAUCAAGGAGAAACAGAAGGCCACGCUCGUGUGCCUGGCCACUGGCUUCUACCCCGACCACGUGGAGCUGAGCUGGUGGGUGAAUGGCAAGGAGGUCCAGAAUGGGGUCGGCACGGACACGCAGCCCUACAAGGAGCACCCCGACCAGAAAACCUCCACCUACCGUCUCAGCAGCCGGCUGAGGGUCUCUGCCACCUUCUGGCACAACCCCCGCAACCACUUCCGCUGCCAAGUCCAUUUCUAUGGGCUCGAUGACGAUGACCAGAAAAAUUGGAAUCAGAGCCACUCCUUCCCUGCCACCCAGAUCAUCAGUGCCGAGACCCCGGGCAGAGCAGACUGUGGCGCCACCUCAGCAUCCUAUCAACAAGGAUUCCUGUCUGCCACCAUCCUGUAUGAGAUCCUGCUGGGGAAGGCCACGCUGUAUGCAGUGCUGGUCAGUGCCCUCGUGCUGAUGGCCAUGGUCAAGAGAAAGGAAUCCUGAAGCCAGGUCAGAGGCGGAGCCAGGGAUUUCCAGCCUGUUAUUGCCACAACAGGGAUUCUCCUUUUUCCAUUCCUAGCCAGUGCUUCUCCAGGGCUGUCUCCUUUCUCUACUCAUCCCCAAUAUCUAUUUCCUAUGACCUUGCACAGCUGUACAUUCAUGACCGCAAUCUCUCUAACCCCAGGGGGACCCUGCUGUGCCUAAAUUGACUGAACCAAUAAAAAUGGCCUGUUCAGGCUUGA